UACGGCCAUACCACCCUGGAUGCCUGAUCUCUUCUGAUCUUGGAAGCAGGGUUGGGCCUGGUUAGUACUUGGAUGCGAGAAAAGAAGCUGUCUCCAUAA
rnacentral:rRNA from 1 species